CGUUCUCAAGGAAGUAGUAAAAUACAGAACAAAACUGUCUCGUCAGAUACACGUUGAUCGAGCAAUAUAGAAAGACUAUUUAAUGUUAUAUGGUUCAAUAAGAAAGGCGUAAUACAAAUGAAUUAUUUUCGAUGUACUAAAUAGACAAAUGGCCAUUCUGAAUGUGAAUAUUGAGAAGUAGAAUCUACAUGUAAUCCGAACAUUGGCGUUCGUUAUUUCAAUGCAACAUUUAAUAUUCUGUAAAUUUGAGGUGUUUCUUUCAGGACUUCUGUCUCGUACCUCGAAAGAUGGCCAGCGCUUCCGCCAGCCUGAGCCAAAGCACAGAAUGCCUCCAUGGAUCAGAGGCUAUACUUCCAAAUACUUUGUCCCUCUCAAGCCUAAAUAACUUUGGACGUCUGAGACUUCAUGAUCGAGCGAACAGCGAUACCAAUCUAGCAUUCACAGAUUUUCUCAAAGAGUCCUCCAAAUUGACUGUUGAUAAGACGGACUAUUAUUUAGCAGCUGGGGAUAAGUUGUUAGUGCAUUGGGAUAUAAAGGAAAAGGUUGGCAGUACAGAUUGGAUAGGAUUGUUUUUAGGAGGUGAAGGAAAUAGACAUCGAUGGAUUGAUUACAAGAAUCGUGGUGUUAAUCAAGCCCAGCAGGGGGAGCUAGUGUGGCAGUUGGACGAGAAUGAUGAAUUUUUUAACGCUGCUGUUACAAAGGUUGAAUUCCGCUAUUAUCACGGGGCAACAGGGUCGCUACGUGCUACGUCUCCAAUCAUAACAGUGCAUAACCCAAAUGCAGUAACCUCGACUUGGGGCACGUCCCAGUCUCAUGGAACUCGAAGCAAAACCCAGGCAGCCGAUCCUGCUCAGCUUAUUCGGUUCACAGUGCAAGACAUGCAAGCGCUAUACCUCAAAAAAGGAAUGUUUUUCAACCCAGACCCCUAUGUUAAGCUAUCAGUCCAGCCUGGCAAGAGGUCAACGUUCCCGCGCCUGAGACAUCAUGGGCAAGAGAAACGAUCAACUAUUAAACAGAAUACAACGAGCCCUGUAUGGUACCAUGAGGACUUUUUAUUUGAAGCUCUGCCCACAGAUGUUCUUGAGUUUGAGGUGAAAGACAAGUUUGCUAAGAGUCGUCCAACCAUCAGCAGAUUUUUAGGCAAACUUACCGUUCCUGUUCAAAGACUUGUAGAUAGGGCAGCAUUAGGAUCUGCAAGAGAAUUAUCUUUUAAUCUUAUGAGAAGAAACCCAUCAGACAAUGUCAGUGGCGUGCUCACAUUCAGCAUAGAGAUAGACUUAACACAGCUACAGUCCAAUCACAGUUCACCUAGAUCAUCACGAAGAUCACUUCAAAAUCAACGAAGAGUCAACUCAUUUGCGACUGAUCAUUCUCCAUCACCAACAAAUUCUCCCAAUAGUCGACGACGAAAAAAGCGUGUUAAUACCGACCCUGGUAUUGUAACCAAUCACGUUGAAUCUACCACUGACAGAGUUUCACAACAUAAUGACACUUCUGCAGAAAAUGACAUUGGAGGUAGCCAUAUUUCAUUGAGUGCUCUUAGCCGAGGACGUAUAGCUGACAGUUUUGAAAUUGAGGAUGAAUCGCUAUUAAGUCAAAGUCCGGGAAGCUUAAAUGCAAUACCAAAUAUAGAAUGUGGUGAGUUUGCGAGUCAGUUAGUGUUAGAGGCGGUUGAUUCAAGUCAAGGUGUGGUGCGGAAAGAUUCUAGGAGUAAUAGUAGUGCAACUCCACCUAGCUCAAAAACCCAAGUGGGCACGGAGUCUGGAAACUCAGGGGCUAGUGGGUCUAGCGUGUCUGGCACGGUGCCCCUGACUGCUGAGCAUUUAAAGACGUUAGAUCCAAUGCAGGCAUGUGGUAUGCCACCCAAGUCAAAUGUAGCUAGUUUUGAUAGUAUGGAGGCAUUUGUAGGCUCCUUAGACAAUAUAAAACGUUUCCAAGGUAACUCCAGUUCCCCUGAGUCUAACAAUGGUGAGAACAGUGCCACUGAACAAAAUCAGUCUUCUGAUGAUACACAUUCAAAUAAUGUCCAAAGACUCAAUGAGGAGGUUACAACAGAGCAAUCUGAUAGGACAGAAUUAACGUCUGCUCAAACUCAAAAUGAGGCUAAUCAAACUCAGAAUGAGGCUGAUACUGCUGAAUCA
rnacentral:misc_RNA from 1 species